UGAAAAAUAAUGUGGUCAUUGUUGUUUGUGUAGAUUGAACCUGAUCGUAGUUGGAUGUAUAAUAGAAAUAAUCCCGAUUGAGAAGGUAUGAUUCCGGAAUUUGCAGAAGGUGUCACUCGUUUUGUAAACCACGCAAAGACACUUGAUCCAUUUUUAAAUCAGGAUUAAUUAGGUGUCCUUGUAUUAACUGUGAAAACGUGAGAUAUCAAACAAUAGAGAAUGUUUCUAUGCAUCUUAUGAUAAAUGGGUUUAAAUUAGGGAGAAACCCAUCAGCGGCCCCUUAAAGUUGGCACCAACUUUUACUUAGACAUCUAAAUCAGGAGAUGUUCAUUUUAGACACCUUAUGUAAGGGUCUGAUUUGUCAUCUUAAAUUUUUUAAAUAAUCUGUUAUUGGACUCAAGCGUGUUUAUUAUAAUUUUGUCCACAUGGAUUAGUUGGCUAAUUAUAUCAUGCCAACUCUGUCUUCUUUACACGUCAUAUUAGCUUUAAAUUUAAAGGGUCAAAAGUUGAUUUUCAACUCCAUUUUCUCUUCUUCAGUUCAAAAACUAAUUUUUUUCUUCUUCAGUUCACCGAUCAAAACCCUAGGUAAGAAUAUGAAAGUUCAAUCUUUCUUGAUUUUCAUUCAAUUCUUAAUUAGUACUAAUUGUUAUGUUAGUUUAUGUUGCCAAUUUCUCGAUUUAAAGGUUGAAAUCAAGUGUUGGAGAUUGCAUUUUUGUUGGGCUUUUUGACAUUUCUAUCAACUACUUCUUGUGUUUGCAUGUUUCAUUCUUGAAGAAGAAGGUGUAUGUUCUGGUUGUUUCCACUCUCUUUUAGCAUUUUGUAACUAGGUUAUUUUUUAAAAAUUGCACUGAUAAAGUAAGAGGCUUUUUGGGUAUUUCCUUGUGUUAGGGUCUUCUUUUUGAGAUAUGAACGACUAUAUAUUGACAUAUUUUCAUCAUGGGGGUCAUGUUAUCGCAGACCCUAACCCUACUUAUAGAGAAGAAAUAGAUGUAUUUGUCGUUGCCAUUAAUAAAGAUCAUUUUAAUCUUGUAGAGUUUUUUUCAUACACUAAAGACCUUGGGUACACAAAUGUGAAGGGCUUUUACUGUCAAAAUGAAAUUAACAAUGAAUUUGUCCAAGUUAGUUAUGAUAUUCAAUUGUUAGACUAUGUGAAAGACUUAAUAGAUGGUAAUGACUUUCAUGUUUAUGUGGUCCAUGAAAUUGAUGAGUUAGAGGAAUUGCCAAGUCCAACUGAUCUUUUAGCAUGGCCAAACUCUGUUGAUGUUGGAAAUGUGGAGAAUGAGGCUAUUUCAGAUGUGAAUGAGACUGAGGAUGUUUCAGAUGUAAAUGAGGCUCCAGCUAAGUCAGAUCUGCAUAGUAGUGACUCAGAUGUAAAUGUCAUUCCUAAUGAAGAUGGUUCAGAUGUUGAUGAAGAAUUGAGAUCCUUUAGAUCUGAAAGAAGGAACAAAAGAAAUCCUAAUCCUAAGAGAAAAAAGAAAGUACCUGAAGAAAUACCAGUAGGUGAAGCUGAUAUUGAUAGAGGCUUUGAAGAUAUUGGAAGAAAUAAGAAGAAUAGAUAUGUUGGAGAUUAGGAGAAGAUGAAGAGUAUAUUGAUAGCUUAGACUUUGAUAGUGAUAAUAGAACAAAUGUGGUAGAUGUAGAAGCUGUUAGGGGUGUUGAUCAACUAGGAAGAAGGAUGAGUAAAAAGGUCAGUAUGAUGCUGAAUGUGAAGUUGUUAUUUUUGAACUUGGAAUGAUUUUUGAAAAUGCUAAACAAUUUAGAAAGGCUUUGGCAAAUUAUGCAGUAGAAAAUAAUUAUCAGAUUAAGUUAAGACCUAAUGAAAUUCAUAGAGUUAGGGCUAAAUAUAAAUUCAAAGAAAAAUGCAAAUGAUUGUAUUAUGGUGCAAUUGAUAGAGAUUCUGGUAAUUUUUUCAUCAAGAACUAUCAUCCUAUACAUAAGUGUUCUCCAUCAAAUAAGAAAAAAAUAUGUACAAGUAAAUUCCUAGCAAACAAAUUCAAGGAUGAAAUAACUAAAGAAUCAUCCAUAAAGAUUUGGAAAAUACAAAAAUUGUACAAGGAGAAGUUAGGAUUGUAUGUGGGUGGGACCAUCUGUUACAAGGCAAAGCUAAUGAUUCUUAGAGAAUCCAUGGGUGACUGAAAUAUAAAAUUUGUAAGAUGAUGUGAUUAUGCUGAGGUUAUAAAACAUACCAAUACUGGUAGUUUUGUUUUUUAAGAAUGAAUAGAGAAACUGCAUCAGAAAAGAAUUUCUUUGUAUACUUCUAUAUGUGCUUGGAUGCAUUGAAAAGGGGGUGGAAGAAAGAAUGUAGAAGAAUAAUAGGAUUUGAUGGAUGUUUAUUAAAGGGUGCUUGCAAGGGUGAACUUCUAGUAGCAGUUGGCAAGAAUGGAAACAAUCAGAUGUUUCCUAUAGUCUGGGCAGUUGUAGAUAAGAAAACUAAGCAUAGUUGGAGUUUCUUUAUCAAUUACUUGAAAGAGGACCUGCAGUUGGGUACUGAACAGGGUCUUAGAGUCAUUUCAUCCAACCAAUUCUAAAUAUGAAGAUGUGGCCUGAAACUAACAAUCCAAGGAUUGAACCUCCUGAACCUAAACCAAUGCCCGAUAGACCAGCAAGAAAUAGAAGAAAUGGCAAAGAUGAACCAAGAAAGAAGUAUGGAAAAAAGUCCAAACAAAGAGUGAAACAGACUUGUUCCAUGUGUAAACAACAAGGUCAUAACAAGAGAUAUUGCAAGAUUGUUGGUCAAAGUUCAGAAGCAGCUACCCAUAAUUCACAAUUUACUGGUCAAAGCUUACAAGAAAGUAGCCAACCUGAACCAAAAAACUUCAGCCAACCUUAACCAACAACAUUCAGCCAACCUGCAUCAACAACAUCAAGCAAGCAUGCUUCUUCAACAACAGUUUGUGCUGAUACAAGUAGAGUUAAGAGGAUGAAUGAUACAAGCUCAAGCCAACCACCAUCAUAUAUGGAUACAAGUAUUCCUGUUACAAGAGAAAUAACAAGUCAACUACCUCGAAGAAGAAAAAAGAUUAUUGGACAAAAGAGAUGAGGAGUUGCAACUGGAGAAGAUUCUGCAAAAGGGGGGACAAAGAAGUCAACUAAUGGUGAAUCAAGUAAUGUUGGAUUUGGCAUAUUCACAAGUGCAAGUGGAACCCAAAUACUCAAUCCAGGGACUUCAAGUCAAAAUAUUCUACCAACAGGUUCAAAUUUUAAGAAUGCAAGUUCAACAGGCAUAAACCUUGGUUUUAAGCCUAGAGGCUUGAGAUGGAAAAAUAGAGAUGCUGUCACUAUCUCCCAGUUGCAGCAAAUGGCAAACAAAAAGAAAAAGUAACAGCAGCACCAUCUUUGAAUACUUUUUGCUAUGUAACGUAAUAACCAAAUAAUUAUUGUUUUUGCUUUAUUCUGGUACUAUUAAACAUUUUUUAGGAU